GGGCCUAUAGUUUAAUGGUAAAGCACUGCUUUCGCAUAGCAGAGAUAUGGGUUCGAUUCCCAUUAGGUCCA
rfam:Parcubacteria bacterium DG_74_2 WOR1_52_54_37, whole genome shotgun sequence.